AAGACCUUACUUCAUAGGAUCAUUUCUAUAGUAAGCUCUUCACGAGAACCUUCACACUAUGUGAGGAGUAGACGGCCAUGUUGAUGAAGCGUGGCGUGUCACCCUGAGCGUGAGGCUGGCAGUAACCAACGGUUACUAGCCAUCGAUGAUCGUUCACCUUCCUACUUGUAGGGGGGCGUGGGGUGAUAUCGCUGUCUGAGUGGC